rnacentral:snoRNA from 12 species
GUGCAGGAUAAGUCACAAUACAGCUUGUGUGGUGCUGUUUUGUUGUCCCCCCCCCGCAAAUAGUAUUUUGGAAAUAAAGUCUAAAUUUUGACUUGAAUCUCAAAAUUCUGACUUUUUUUCUCAGAA